rnacentral:rRNA from 1 species
UACAGAGGGGGCAAGCGUUGUUCGGAAUUUACUGGGCGUAAAGGGCGCGUAGGCGGCCGGCUAAGUCGAACGUGAAAUCCCCGGCUUAACCUGGGAACUGCGUCUGAUACUGGACGGCUUGAGUAUGGGAGAGGGAUGUAGAAUUCCAGGUGUAGCGGUGAAAUGCGUAGAUAUCUGGAGGAAUACCGGUGGCGAAGGCGGCAUCCUGGACCAUUACUGACGCUGAGGCGCGAAAAGCUAGGGGAGCAAACGGGG